GGGUUGUGAGGUUAAGCGACUAAGCGUACACGGUGGAUGCCCUGGCAGUCAGAGGCGAUGAAGGACGUGCUAAUCUGCGAAAAGCGUCGGUAAGGUGAUAUGAACCGUUAUAACCGGCGAUGUCCGAAUGGGGAAACCCAGUGUGAUUCGUCACACUAUCGUUAACUGAAUACAUAGGUUAACGAGGCGAACCGGGGGAACUGAAACAUCUAAGUACCCCGAGGAAAAGAAAUCAACCGAGAUUCCCCCAGUAGCGGCGAGCGAACGGGGAGCAGCCCAGAGUCUGAAUCAGCUUGUGUGUUAGUGGAACGGUCUGGAAAGUCCGACGGUACAGGGUGAUAGUCCCGUACACCAAAAUGCACAGGCUGUGAACUCGAAGAGUAGGGCGGGACACGUGGUAUCCUGUCUGAAUAUGGGGACCAUCCUCCAAGGCUAAAUACUCCUGACUGACCGAUAGUGAACCAGUACCGUGAGGGAAAGGCGAAAAGAACCCCGGCGAGGGGAGUGAAAAAGAACCUGAAACCGUGUACGUACAAGCAGUGGGAGCACCUUCGGGUGUGACUGCGUACCUUUUGUAUAAUGGGUCAGCGACUUAUAUUCUGUAGCAAGGUUAACCGUAUAGGGGAGCCGCAGGGAAACCGAGUCUUAACUGGGCGUUAAGUUGCAGGGUAUAGACCCGAAACCCGGUGAUCUAGCCAUGGGCAGGUUGAAGGUUGGGUAACACUAACUGGAGGACCGAACCGACUAAUGUUGAAAAAUUAGCGGAUGACUUGUGGCUGGGGGUGAAAGGCCAAUCAAACCGGGAGAUAGCUGGUUCUCCCCGAAAGCUAUUUAGGUAGCGCCUCGUGAACUCAUCUUCGGGGGUAGAGCACUGUUUCGGCUAGGGGGUCAUCCCGACUUACCAACCCGAUGCAAACUACGAAUACCGAAGAAUGUUAUCACGGGAGACACACGGCGGGUGCUAACGUCCGUCGUGAAGAGGGAAACAACCCAGACCGCCAGCUAAGGUCCCAAAGUCAUGGUUAAGUGGGAAACGAUGUGGGAAGGCACAGACAGCCAGGAUGUUGGCUUAGAAGCAGCCAUCAUUUAAAGAAAGCGUAAUAGCUCACUGGUCGAGUCGGCCUGCGCGGAAGAUGUAACGGGGCUAAACCAUGCACCGAAGCUGCGGCAGCGACACUAUGUGUUGUUGGGUAGGGGAGCGUUCUGUAAGCCUGCGAAGGUGACCUGUGAGGGUUGCUGGAGGUAUCAGAAGUGCGAAUGCUGACAUAAGUAACGAUAAAGCGGGUGAAAAGCCCGCUCGCCGGAAGACCAAGGGUUCCUGUCCAACGUUAAUCGGGGCAGGGUGAGUCGACCCUAAGGCGAGGCCGAAAGGCGUAGUCGAUGGGAAACAGGUUAAUAUUCCUGUACUUGGUGUUACUGCGAAGGGGACGGAGAAGGCUAUGUUAGCCGGGCGACGGUUGUCCCGGUUUAAGCAUGUAGGCUGGUUAUCCAGGCAAAUCCGGAUAAUCAAGGCUGAGGUGUGAUGACGAGGCACUACGGUGCUGAAGUAACAAAUGCCCUGCUUCCAGGAAAAGCCUCUAAGCAUCAGGUAACAUCAAAUCGUACCCCAAACCGACACAGGUGGUCAGGUAGAGAAUACCAAGGCGCUUGAGAGAACUCGGGUGAAGGAACUAGGCAAAAUGGUGCCGUAACUUCGGGAGAAGGCACGCUGGUGUGUAGGUGAAGCCCCUGCGGGUGGAGCUGAGACCAGUCGAAGAUACCAGCUGGCUGCAACUGUUUAUUAAAAACACAGCACUGUGCAAACACGAAAGUGGACGUAUACGGUGUGACGCCUGCCCGGUGCCGGAAGGUUAAUUGAUGGGGUUAUCCGUAAGGAGAAGCUCUUGAUCGAAGCCCCGGUAAACGGCGGCCGUAACUAUAACGGUCCUAAGGUAGCGAAAUUCCUUGUCGGGUAAGUUCCGACCUGCACGAAUGGCGUAAUGAUGGCCAGGCUGUCUCCACCCGAGACUCAGUGAAAUUGAACUCGCUGUGAAGAUGCAGUGUACCCGCGGCAAGACGGAAAGACCCCGUGAACCUUUACUAUAGCUUGACACUGAACAUUGAGCCUUGAUGUGUAGGAUAGGUGGGAGGCUUUGAAGCGUGGACGCCAGUCUGCGUGGAGCCAACCUUGAAAUACCACCCUUUAAUGUUUGAUGUUCUAACGUUGGCCCCUUACCGGGGUUGCGGACAGUGUCUGGUGGGUAGUUUGACUGGGGCGGUCUCCUCCCAAAGCGUAACGGAGGAGCACGAAGGUUAGCUAAUCCUGGUCGGACAUCAGGAGGUUAGUGCAAUGGCAUAAGCUAGCUUGACUGCGAGCGUGACGGCGCGAGCAGGUGCGAAAGCAGGUCAUAGUGAUCCGGUGGUUCUGAAUGGAAGGGCCAUCGCUCAACGGAUAAAAGGUACUCCGGGGAUAACAGGCUGAUACCGCCCAAGAGUUCAUAUCGACGGCGGUGUUUGGCACCUCGAUGUCGGCUCAUCACAUCCUGGGGCUGAAGUAGGUCCCAAGGGUAUGGCUGUUCGCCAUUUAAAGUGGUACGCGAGCUGGGUUUAGAACGUCGUGAGACAGUUCGGUCCCUAUCUGCCGUGGGCGCUGGAGAAUUGAGGGGGGCUGCUCCUAGUACGAGAGGACCGGAGUGGACGCAUCACUGGUGUUCGGGUUGUCAUGCCAAUGGCACUGCCCGGUAGCUAAAUGCGGAAGAGAUAAGUGCUGAAAGCAUCUAAGCACGAAACUUGCCCCGAGAUGAGUUCUCCCUGAGACUUUAAGUCUCCUGAAGGAACGUUGAAGACGACGACGUUGAUAGGCCGGGUGUGUAAGCGCAGCGAUGCGUUGAGCUAACCGGUACUAAUGAACCGUGAGGCUUAACCUUACAACGCCGAAG
rnacentral:rRNA from 1 species